CAGAACUCGCACAUGCAGCACAGCUGGCUGAUGGGGCAGUACAGAACUGUAAAGAAAAACAUGUCAAAUCAGACCAUGAACUGCAUGUUCUUUGCCGUGUGACAGAAAAGUUCAACAUGAGUGGCGUGUGGCGUAGGCUGGAGUCACUUUGGACGCUGGGUCAGGUUGGAACCUCAAGGGCUGAACAGAAGCGCUUUACAGCCACGAAGUGGAGUGCAGCAGCCUGC